rnacentral:rRNA from 1 species
GAUGAACGCUAGCUACAGGCUUAACACAUGCAAGUCGAGGGACCGGCACGCGGGUGAGUUACCCGUAUCCAACCUGCCCUUUACUCGGGGAUAGCCUUUCGCAAUAACGAUUACUACCCGAUAUAAAGUAUCGGGGUGCGUUCCAUUAGGUUGUUGGUGAGGUAACGGCCCACCAAGCCUUCGAUGGAUGGGGGUUCGGAGGGGAAGGUCCCCCACAGUGGAACCGCGACACGGUCCAAACUCGUACGGGAGGCAGGGGUGAAGAAUACUGGUCACUGGGCGCUAGCCUGAACCAGCCAAGUAGCGUGAUGAGGGAUGGCUUAUGAGUCGUAAACUUCUUGUAUAUAAGAAUAGGUAUUAUAUGAAUAAGGAUCGGCUAACUCCGUGCCAGCAGCCGCGGUAAUAC